AGUGAACGCUGGCGGUAGGCCUAACACAUGCAAGUCGAACGGCAGCACAGUAAGCGCUUGCUCUUACGGGUGGCGAGUGGCGGACGGGUGAGGAAUACAUCGGAAUCUACUUUUUCGUGGGGGAUAGCGUAGGGAAACUUACGCUAAUACCGCAUACGACCUACGGGUGAAAGCAGGGGAUCUUCGGACCUUGCGCGAUUGAAUGAGCCGAUGUCGGAUUAGCUAGUUGGCGGGGUAAAGGCCCACCAAGGCGACGAUCCGUAGCUGGUCUGAGAGGAUGAUCAGCCACACUGGAACUGAGACACGGUCCAGACUCCUACGGGAGGCAGCAGUGGGGAAUAUUGGACAAAGGGCGCAAGCCUGAUCCAGCCAUACCGCGUGGGUGAAGAAGGCCUUCGGGUUGUAAAGCCCUUUUGUUGGGAAAGAAAAGCAGCAGGUUAAUACCCCGCUGUUCUGACGGUACCCAAAGAAUAAGCACCGGCUAACUUCGUG
rnacentral:rRNA from 1 species